rnacentral:rRNA from 1 species
AUUGAACGCUGGCGGCAGGCCUAACACAUGCAAGUCUGGCGGAGCGGCGGACGGGUGAGUAAUGUAUCGGGAUCUGCCUGUUGGCGUUGUAUCACUACUGGAAACGGUAGCUAAUACCGCAUACCAUCAGAUGAUCCCAUAUGGGAUUAGCUAGUUGGUGGGGUAAAGGCCGACCAAGGGGACGAUCCGUAACUGGUCUGAGAGGAUGAUAAGUUACAAUGGAACUGAGACACGGUCCAGACUCCUACAGGAGGCAGCAGUGGGGAAUAGUGGACAAUGGGCGAAAGCCUGAACUAGCAAUGCCGCGAGUGUGAAGAAGGUCUUCGGAUUGUAAAGCAAUUUAAGUUGGGAGGCGGUACCAACAGAAAAAGAACCGGCUAACUCCGUGCCAGCAGCCGCAGUAAUAC